GGCAUAGUUCAGUUGGUAGAGCGCCAGAUUGUGGAUCUGGAUGUCCAAGGUUCGAGUCCUUGUG
rnacentral:tRNA from 1 species